UACGGAGGGUGCAAGCGUUAUCCGGAUUUACUGGGUUUAAAGGGUGUGUAGGCGGGCUUUUAAGUCAGGGGUGAAAUCCCGAGGCUCAACCUCGGAACUGCCUUUGAUACUGGAGAUCUUGAGUCCGGAAGAGGUAAGUGGAACUGCGAGUGUAGAGGUGAAAUUCGUAGAUAUUCGCAAGAACACCAGUGGCGAAGGCGGCUUACUGGUCCGGAACUGACGCUGAGGUGCGAAAGCGUGGGGAGCAAACAGG
rnacentral:rRNA from 1 species